GAUGAAGAACGUAGCGAAAUGCGAUAAGUAAUGUGAAUUGCAGAAUUCAGUGAAUCAUCGAAUCUUUGGACGCACAUUGCGCCCGCCAGUAUUCUGGCGGGCAUGCCUGUUCGAGCGUCAUUUCAACCAUCAAGCCCUGCUUGCGUUGGGGUCCUGCGGCUGCCCGCAGGCCCUGAAAACCAGUGGCGGGCUCGCUAGUCACACCGAGCGCAGUAAUACAUCUCGCUUUGGGCGUGCGGCGGGUUCUUGCCGUUAAACACCCCCUUUUUACCAAGGUUGACCUCGGAUCAGGUAGGAAUACCCGCUGAACUUAAGCAUAUCAAUAAGCGGAGGA
rnacentral:misc_RNA from 1 species